UAAAUAUCCAUACUUUGUUAACAUGUUCAUAGUUUUGUAAAUACUCGUAAAUUUGUAAAUAAUUGUGCUUUCAACCCUAGUUUAAAUAUAAAUAUCUUAAUAUGUAAAUGUAAUCCCUUUCCCCCUAUCCUUCGAUACCAGUUACCCUUAAUAUAACCAAUGAAUUAAUUAAAAAAAAAAUGAAUUUGUAAAUAAAAAUAAAUUAAAUAUUUGAAUUCAAAUCCCCGUCCUAUAAAACCCUACAUCAUCAUUCCUUCCUUAUGCACUGCAUCAUGGCGCCUUGUACCAACUGUGCGGAAACAAAUCCCUCCCGGGAAAUGUUCCACCCAUGGGUUAUGCUGCAUCAUCCUAAGCGAUAUAAAAAGGAUAUGCAGGCCAAGGCAAAGGAUCUUUUUGGAACUAAAUUCCUAACCGUGUCUCGUGAGUGCAACCGCCGAUCUCUCAUACCAGUGCCGAAAUAGGGGAGUCAUCAUCCAAGUGCGGAAUAAGCAGAACGAAGGCGUCCAGAUCCGGCUUCAGGUGGCCCAGACACGAAGUGACCGACAUCAGAAGACACAGAGGUCGGGUAAGCCCGCAAAACGUUGGAAUCAAGUGAAACUAAAUGUGCACAUCCUUUACUAUCCUAUGAAUUCCCCUCCAAAAUAUAUAAAUUUAUUGUUUAAAAUGUGAAUUUCCAA